rnacentral:rRNA from 1 species
AUUGAACGCUGGCGGCAGGCCUAACACAUGCAAGUCGAGCGGAUGAAGGGAGCUUGCUCCUGGAUUCAGCGGCGGACGGGUGAGUAAUGCCUAGGAAUCUGCCUGGUAGUGGGGGAUAACGUCCGGAAACGGGCGCUAAUACCGCAUACGUCCUGAGGGAGAAAGUGGGGGAUCUUCGGACCUCACGCUAUCAGAUGAGCCUAGGUCGGAUUAGCUAGUUGGUGGGGUAAAGGCCUACCAAGGCGACGAUCCGUAACUGGUCUGAGAGGAUGAUCAGUCACACGGGAACUGAGACACGGUCCAGACUCCUACGGGAGGCAGCAGUGGGGAAUAUUGGACAAUGGGCGAAGGCCUGAUCCAGCCAUGCCGCGUGUGUGAAGAAGGUCUUCGGAUUGUAAAGCACUUUAAGUUGGGAGGAAGGGCAGUAAGUUAAUACCUUGCUGUUUUGACGUUACCAACAGAAUAAGCACCGGCUAACUUCGUG